CGGGUGAGUAACACGUGAGCAAUCUGCCCCUGACUCUGGGAUAAGCGCUGGAAACGGCGUCUAAUACCGGAUACGAGCCGAGCAGGCAUCUGCAGCGGCUGGAAAGAACUUCGGUCAGGGAUGAGCUCGCGGCCUAUCAGCUAGUUGGUGAGGUAAUGGCUCACCAAGGCGACGACGGGUAGCCGGCCUGAGAGGGUGACCGGCCACACUGGGACUGAGACACGGCCCAGACUCCUACGGGAGGCAGCAGUGGGGAAUAUUGCACAAUGGGCGCAAGCCUGAUGCAGCAACGCCGCGUGAGGGACGAAGGCCUUCGGGUUGUAAACCUCUUUUAGCAGGGAAGAAGCGAGAGUGACGGUACCUGCAGAAAAAGCACCGGCUAACUACGUGCCAGCAGCCGCGGUAAUACGUAGGGUGCGAGCGUUAUCCGGAAUUAUUGGGCGUAAAGAGCUCGUAGGCGGUCUGUCGCGUCUGCUGUGAAAUCCCGAGGCUCAACCUCGGGCUUGCAGUGGGUACGGGCAGACUAGAGUGCGGUAGGGGAGAUUGGAAUUCCUGGUGUAGCGGUGGAAUGCGCAGAUAUCAGGAGGAACACCGAUGGCGAAGGCAGAUCUCUGGGCCGUUACUGACGCU
rnacentral:rRNA from 1 species